GUGUUGGAUGAAAGGAGCGAAGGUGAGCACUCCCUUCGACAGGGAUGGACAGAUGAGGCCCUUGGGCCUGACAACAGGCAUGGCUAGGCAUCACCACGUGCUUUGUGGCAUCUAACCAUGGUUUUUA
ensembl:snRNA U6atac minor spliceosomal RNA